UCUGUCAGGAAUCCUGAUGCUGGUUCCCAUAGCCUGGACGUGCCAUCACACGAGUCAGCCACUGGAGGGUGCUGUGCUGCUGAGGAGAGACUGGGGGCCUGCCCUGUAUCUUGGAUGGAUCUCCUUUGCCUUGAUGGUGGCCGGUGGGGCGUUUCUGACCACCAGAUGCCCCACAGCUGAAAGCCGAGCGGAGCAACCUGAAAACAGCAGCUGAGAACCUCCAGAGAACCACGGCCUUUGGUCUCGCAGCGGAUCAGCUCAUCGAUCUCCCUGAAGCAGCCGGGGUCCACCAGACACACCUGAGCGUGAUGAAGAUUUCACACAGUAGAAAGUCUAUUGCAGAUGU